UAGCCUCAAAAUGCUCAUCCUGACCCUAAAAUGUGAACCCUGACCCAAAAAUGCUUAUCCUGACCCCAGAAUUCAGACCCCAAAAUGCUCAUCCUGACCCUGAAAUGUGAACCCCAACCCCAAAAACUCUCAUCCUGACCCCCAAAUUAAACCCAAAAACGCUCACCGACCCCAAAAUUCACACCCCAAAAUACUCAUCUUGACCCAAAAAUGCUCAUCCUGACCCUAAAAUGUGAACCCUGACCCCAAAACCUCUCAUCCUGACCCCAAAAUUACACCUAAAAACGCUCAUCCUGAACCCAAAAUUUGAACCCAAAAAUGUUCAUCCUGAACCAAAAACACUCAUCCUGACCCCAAAAUUCAGACCCCAAAAUGCUCAUCCUGACCCCAAAAUCCUCAUUCUGACCCUAAAACCUGAACCCUGACCCCAAAACCUCUCAUCCUGACCCCAAAAUUAAACCCCAAAAUGCUCACCCUGACCCCCAAAACUCCCCACCCUUAAACCCAACCCCUCCAAUUUCUUUGGGGGCAGCGCCAUCACAGCCGCAUCCCUCUCCAUCCCAUAAACGGAGCGGGACCCCUUCCCCCCUCCGUCUCAAUUAACGACCCUGGGCUAAUUAACGAUGACUAAUUAAUGAUGGUUUCCUUCUCACCCCGAAGCUGGCGGCUCCGCCGGGCGCAGGCUGCGCUCCUUUCUGGCCGUUUACGUCCUCAUGGCGCUCAGCUUCCUCCUCCUCACCGCGCUCAGCUCCGUCUCGUUAGCCAGAAGUAAUUCGUUAACGAGGGGACGGGGUGGGAGUGGGGGGGGGGGAUGGGGGGCACGAAGUGUGGGGCUGAGGGUGGAGACCCCAAUAAAGUGUGGGGCAGAGGAUGGAGACCCCAGUGGGGAUUAUUGUAGGGUAACGUGUGGGGUAGAGGGUGGAGACCCCAAUAAAGUGUGGGGCAGGGGAUGGAGACCCCAGUGGGGAUGAUUGUAGGGUAAUGUGUGGGGCAGGGGAUGGAGAUCCCAAUAAAAUGUGGGGCAGGGGAUGGAGACCCCA
rnacentral:lncRNA from 1 species